ensembl:processed_transcript Gm26871 predicted gene, 26871
GCGGCAGCAGUGACAGCGGUAGCAGAGGCAGAGGCAGCGGCAGCUUGGCCCUCUGACUCUCUUCGGUGACGGGUAUUCUUGGGUGGAUAAUACGGAUUACGUUGUUAUUGCUUAAGAAUACGCGUAGUCGAGGAGAGUACCAGCGGCAGGCGGGCAGCGGCCGCCCCUCCCAGCCCACCAGCUGGCCACUAAAAGCUCCCGGUUGCCAAGAAGUGUGAGCGAGUAAUUUUGCUGGAUGUCCACGUAUUUCAGUUGAGCCAUUUGAAGACAUUAGGAGUGGGGUUAUUGAAGCCCUCCCUUGCUCUAGGACAAUGCAAGCCUGCCUCUGUGUUCACCACAGGUAUGUGUUCAUGAGUUCUUCCUUAAUAGAUUGCCCAGAUAUCACAGAAUUGCGACACUUUGUUUAGUAUAUGGUCAUGGUGAAUAGUACCUAUCUGUAUUUUUAUUAUUUUAACAAAAAUUAAAAUUCUCAGCCUAUCCUAUGUUAUGUAAAGCAAGUAUCCACACCCAAUUGUCUCUUCUUCUAUGAAAAAAACAAAACAAAACAAAAAAACCCCAAAAAAACCAAAAACUUGUCACUUCUUUCAGAAAAUCUACUUCCAGUUGAUUAAAGUUUGCUCCACCUCCAUCAAAUAUACUUUUUUCCAGAUUAUUAAGUUUUUAAAACAUUUAUUUUUUUACAUCCUAAUUCUGUCCCCCC